rnacentral:pre_miRNA from 1 species
AUUCUGCUCCCUUCGUUGCACAAUACAUGCCUUCUAUUUGUCAAAAUAUAUAUGUAUCUAGACAUGUCUUAGUAUAUAGGUACAUCCAUUUUUGGACAAAUGGAAGUCAAGUAUUUUGGAACGGAGGGAGUACACA